rnacentral:rRNA from 1 species
GAUGAACGCUGGCGGCGUGCCUAAUACAUGCAAGUCGAGCGAACAGAUGAGGAGCUUGCUCCUCUGACGUUAGCGGCGGACGGGUGAGUAACACGUGGAUAACCUACCUAUAAGACUGGGAUAACUUCGGGAAACCGGAGCUAAUACCGGAUAAUAUAUUGAACCGCAUGGUUCAAUAGUGAAAGACGGUUUUGCUGUCACUUAUAGAUGGAUCCGCGCCGCAUUAGCUAGUUGGUAAGGUAACGGCUUACCAAGGCAACGAUGCGUAGCCGACCUGAGAGGGUGAUCGGCCACACUGGAACUGAGACACGGUCCAGACUCCUACGGGAGGCAGCAGUAAGGAAUCUUCCGCAAUGGGCGAAAGCUUGACGGAGCAACGCCGCGUGAGUGAUGAAGGUCUUCGGAUCGUAAAACUCUGUUAUUAGGGAAGAACAAAUGUGUAAGUAACUAUGCACGUCUUGACGGUACCUAAUCAGAAAGCCACGGCUAACUACGUG